UACGAAGGGAGCUAGCGUUACUCGGAAUCACUGGGCGUAAAGCGCAUGUAGGCGGAAUUAUAAGUCAGGGGUGAAAUCCCAAGGCUCAACCUUGGAAUUGCCUUUGAAACUGUAAUUAUUGAGUAUGGUAGAGGAUAGUGGAAUUUCCAGUGUAGAGGUGAAAUUCGUAGAUAUUGGAAAGAACACCAGUGGCGAAGGCGGCUCACUGGCCCGGUACUGACGCUGAGGUGCGAAAGCGUGGGGAGCAAACAGG
rnacentral:rRNA from 1 species